GGCGAGUGGCGAACGGGUGAGUAAUAUAUCGGAACGUGCCCAGUCGUGGGGGAUAACGUAGAGAAAUUUACGCUAAUACCGCAUACGAUCCAAGGAUGAAAGCGGGGGACUUCGCAAGAGGCCUCGCGCGACUGGAGCGGCUGAUAUCAGAUUAGGUUGUUGGUGAGGUAAAAGCUCACCAAGCCGACGAUCUGUAGCUGGUUUGAGAGAACGACCAGCCACACUGGGACUGAGACACGGCCCAGACUCCUACGGGAGGCAGCAGUGGGGAAUUUUGGACAAUGGGCGAAAGCCUGAUCCAGCAAUGCCGCGUGCAGGAAGAAGGCCUUCGGGUUGUAAACUGCUUUUGUACGGAACGAAAAGGUCUGCCCUAAUACGGCGGGCCCAUGACGGUACCGUAAGAAUAAGCACCGGCUAACUACGUGCCAGCAGCCGCGGUAAUACGUAGGGUGCGAGCGUUAAUCGGAAUUACUGGGCGUAAAGCGUGCGCAGGCGGUGAUGUAAGACAGUUGUGAAAUCCCCGGGCUCAACCUGGGAAUUGCAUCUGUGA
rnacentral:rRNA from 1 species